rnacentral:lncRNA from 10 species
GCCGGUCCAGGGUCCAACAUUUAGUAACCAACAUCAAAUGUACUUGUCUCUCCUAAGCUGCACAGACUGCCAAGUCUCUCGUCAGGUCUUCGCCGCAAAUCUCUCUCCAGAGGAUCGUGGCUGAGGCACCAUGGAAUGCUGCUGUUCUACUGGAGAUGAAAUUUCAUCCAAAAGAAAAAGGGAAAAGUAUCCAAAAGUCUUUCUAGUCUCCAGGCAUUUAGAAAAGCUUUAGAACAAGAUCUGCACUGGCACAAGAAUUUGAGUGGAAAUCACCCUGCCCAGCUGUGAGCCCCGGGGCGGGUGAGCCACACACUUGGAUCUCACUGCAGUUGUGGCCUCUGGGAAGAAGGCUUUGAAUGCAGAUUUUAAACAGGUACUCAACUCAUACUGAGCCACGGCUACUUUCAACUUAACAAUAUGUGAGAAACCCAUCUGAUCACUGCAGACCUGCUGAAAUCUCUUACAACUAAUCCUUCAAUCCUCACCAGAAUGCUGGCUGUCCUGCCUCUGCCGUCGCGAGAGAAGAUAAAAGCUACUGGGUGGCCACAGGGCAGUUAUGUCCCCUUCUCUAGGUUUUGUGAUUCUGGCAGUUAGAAUGGGUUUCCAGACUUUUACAAGCAGAAACCCUUAUACAUGUGAUUAUAUGCUGUCCGUCAACA